AACGAACGCUGGCGGCAGGCUUAACACAUGCAAGUCGAACGGCUGUAGCAAUACAGCAGUGGCGGACGGGUGAGUAACGCGUGGGAACGUGCCCUGAGGUACGGAAUAACUGCGGGAAACUGCAGCUAAUACCGUAUGAGCCCGAGCAAUCGGGGAAAGAUUUAUCGCCUUAGGAGCGGCCCGCGUCGGAUUAGCUAGUUGGUGGGGUAACGCCUACCAAGGCUUCGAUCCGUAGCUGGUCUGAGAGGACGAUCAGCCACAUUGGGACUGAGACACGGCCCAAACUCCUACGGGAGGCAGCAGUGGGGAAUCUUGCGCAAUGGGCGAAGGCCUGACGCAGCCAUGCCGCGUGAACGAUGAAGGCC
rnacentral:rRNA from 1 species